GGAAGUCCGACCGAGCAACGCCGCGUGAGUGAAGAAGGUUUUCGGAUCGUAAAGCUCUGUUGUAAGAGAAGAACGAGUGUGAGAGUGGAAAGUUCACACUGUGACGGUAUCUUACCAGAAAGGGACGGCUAACUACGUGCCAGCAGCCGCGGUAAUACGUAGGUCCCGAGCGUUGUCCGGAUUUAUUGGGCGUAAAGCGAGCGCAGGCGGUUAGAUAAGUCUGAAGUUAAAGGCUGUGGCUUAACCAUAGUACGCUUUGGAAACUGUUUAACUUGAGUGCAAGAGGGGAGAGUGGAAUUCCAUGUGUAGCGGUGAAAUGCGUAGAUAUAUGGAGGAACACCGGUGGCGAAAGCGGCUCUCUGGCUUGUAACUGACGCCGAAGCUCGAAAGCGUGGGGAGCCAACAGAUAGAUACCCUGGUAGUCCACGCCGUAAACGAUGAGUGCUAGGUGUUAGACCUUCCGGGGUUUAGUGCCGCAGCUAACGCAUUAAGCACUCCGCCUGGGAGUACGACGCAAGGU
rnacentral:rRNA from 1 species